rnacentral:snoRNA from 1 species
ACCUGCAUUCUAAAGUGACCGUGGGCUGCCUGUGCCCUGGUCGUCAAUUAUGCAGGGAGAAGAACUGAAAGCCGUUUCCCGUGUUUGGAGGGUCCAGCCUGUCCCUUUCAAAUGCUGGCACUUUCAUACA